rnacentral:rRNA from 1 species
GAUUCUGGCUCAGGAUGAACGCUGGCGGCGUGCCUAACACAUGCAAGUCGAGCGAUUACUUCGGUAAAGAGCGGCGGACGGGUGAGUAACGCGUGGGUAACCUGCCUCAUACACAUGGAUAACGUACCGAAAGGUAUGCUAAUACAGGAUAAUAUAAGAGAUUCACAUGGAUUUCUUAUCAAAGCUCCGGCGGUAUGAGAUGGACCCGCGUCUGAUUAGCUAGUUGGUAAGGUAGUGGCUUACCAAGGCGACGAUCAGUAGCCGACCUGAGAGGGUGAUCGGCCACAUUGGAACUGAGACACGGUCCAAACUCCUACGGGAGGCAGCAGGUGGGGAAUAUUGCAACAAUGGGACGAAAGCCUGAUGCAAGCAACGCCGCGUGAGUGAUGGAGGCCGUUCGGGUACGUAAAACUCUGUCCUCAAGGAAGAUAAUGACGGUACUUGAGGAGGAACGCCCCGGCUAACUACGUGCCAGCAGCAGC